rnacentral:tRNA from 1 species
GGUCCAUUAGCUCAGCCGGCAGAGCAUCUGCCUUUUAAGCAGAGGGUCCGGGGUUCGAGCCCCCGAUGGGCCACCA